GUCCACGCCGUAAACGAUGGGUGCUAGGCGUCGGGGGGAGCGACCCCUUCGGUGCCGUCGCUAACGCAAUAAGCACCCCGCCUGGGGAGUACGGUCGCAAGACUGAAACUCAAAGGAAUUGACGGGGGCCCGCACAAGCGGUGGAGCAUGUGGUUUAAUUCGAAGCAACGCGAAGAACCUUACCUGGGCUUGACAUGCACGGGAAAGCCGGUGGAAACAUCGGCCCCUCUUCGGAGUCCGUGCACAGGUGCUGCAUGGCUGUCGU
rnacentral:rRNA from 1 species